CAGUAGCCGCGGGAAUACGGAGGGGGCUAGCGUUGUUCGGAAUUACUGGGCGUAAAGCGCACGUAGGCGGCUUGGUAAGUUAGAGGUGAAAGCCUGGAGCUCAACUCCAGAAUUGCCUUUAAGACUGCCGAGCUAGUAGGUGAGAGAGGUAAGUGGAAUUCCGAGUGUAGAGGUGAAAUUCGUAGAUAUUCGGAAGAACACCAGUGGCGAAGGCGGCUUACUGGCUCAUUCUAGACGCUGAGGUGCGAAAGCGUGGGGAGCAAACAGGAUUAGAUACCCCAGUAGUCCCUGUCUCUUAUAC
rnacentral:rRNA from 1 species